rnacentral:rRNA from 1 species
AAUGCAAGUCGAACGGAUUGAAGCGAGUAGUAAUACAAACUUCAGUCAGUGGCGCACGGGUGCGUAACACGUGAGUAACAUGCCCUGUAGUCGUGAAUAGCCCUCCGAAAGGGGGAUUAAUACACGAUGGUCCCGCAAGGGUAAAGGUGGCUUCGGCUGCCGCUAUAGGAUUGGCUCGCGGCCUAUCAGCUAGUUGGGGAGGUAACGGCUCACCAAGGCGACGACGGGUACCUGGUCUGAGAGGACGAUCAGGCACACUGGAACUGAGACACGGUCCAGACACCUACGGGUGGCAGCAGUCGAGAAUAAUUCACAAUGGGGGCAACCCUGAUGGUGCAACGCCGCGUGGAGGAUGAAGGUCUUCGGAUUGUAAACUCCUGUCAUCUGGGAGUAAGGCGUGGCGAUGAAUAGUCGACACGAUUGAUAGUACCAGAAGAGGAAGGGACGGCUAACUUCGUGCCAGCAGCCGCGGUAAUACGAAGGUCCCAAGCGUUGUUCGGAAUCACUGGGCGUAAAGGGAGCGUAGGCGGCGUGGUAAGUCAGAUGUGAAAUCCCGGGGCUCAACCCCGGAACUGCAUCCGAUACUGCCAUGCUUGAGGGUUGGAGAGGUAGCUGGAAUUCUCGGUGUAGCAGUGAAAUGCGUGGAUAUCGAGAGGAACACUCGUGGCGAAGGCGAGCUACUGGACAACAUCUGACGCUGAGGCUCGAAGGCUAGGGUAGCGAAAGGGAUUAGAUACCCCUGUAGUCCUAGCAGUAAACGGUGUGCGCUUGGUGUGAGGGGAUUCGACCCCCCUUGUGCCGGAGCUAACGCGUUAAGCGCACCGCCUGGGAAGUACGGCCGCAAGGCUAAAACUCAAAGAAGAUUGACGGGGACCCGCACAAGCGGUGGAGUAUGUGGCUUAAUUCGAUGCAACGCGAAGAACCUUACCAAGGCUUGACAUGCAUCUCUAAGCACGUGAAAGCGUGUGACUCUUCGGAGGAUUUGCACAGGUGCUGCAUGGUCGUCGUCAGCUCGUGUCGUGAGAUGUUGGUUAAGUCCUGCAACGAGCGCAACCCCUGUGAUAGUUGCCAGCGUUCGUCGGGGACUCUAAUCAGACUGCCCAGAUCACUGGAGAGGUAGGGACGACGUCAGUUCAGUAUGACGUACGUCUGGCUGCCCACGUACUACAUGUCAGUACAAUGGAGAACG